rnacentral:lncRNA from 1 species
AGAUGCUUCACAACAUUUUAGGAGGUGCCUGCAAUUAGCAAAUGAUAUCUGUUUGGACCGAAAGAUUGCAAAAGAAGCUUCUGAUGGCUUACAAAAAGCACAGGUAGUGUAAUUAAUUAAAAACCCGAUCUUACUGCUUUCCAUGAGAUUCACCUGAUGGCUUACAAAAAGCACAGGUAGUGUAAUUAAUUAAAAACCCGAUCUUACUGCUUUCCAUGGGAUUCACCAUAGUCUACAUUUAACAUUCACUUAUAAAUGUACAUGAAAUUGGUUAAUACAAUACUCAUCUGAACCCUGAUAAUGCUGAAACUUUUUCUCAUUUUCUUAAAAACAGUUUAAGUUGCACACCACAUAGUUUGUAGGGUGAUUGAGCCAAGAAGAAAUAAGGAAUUUUCUGAUUGUAAAACCCCUAUUUUGGCUUGUAAUGGGAAAAGACAGGAG